CAGUAGCCGCGGUAAUACGUAGGUGGCAAGCGUUGUCCGGAAUUAUUGGGCGUAAAGGGCUCGCAGGCGGUUUCUUAAGUCUGAUGUGAAAGCCCCCGGCUCAACCGGGGAGGGUCAUUGGAAACUGGGAAACUUGAGUGCAGAAGAGGAGAGUGGAAUUCCAUGUGUAGCGGUGAAAUGCGUAGAGAUGUGGAGGAACACCAGUGGCGAAGUCGACUCUCUGGUCUGUAACUGACGCUGAGGAGCGAAAGCGUGGGGAGCGAACAGGAUUAGAUACCCCCGUAGUCCCUGUCUCUUAUAU
rnacentral:rRNA from 1 species